rnacentral:rRNA from 1 species
UACGAAGGGGGCUAGCGUUGUUCGGAAUUACUGGGCGUAAAGGGCGCGUAGGCGGUGCGGUAAGUCACCUGUGAAACCUCUAGGCUUAACCUAGAGCCUGCAGGCGAAACUGCCGUGCUUGAGGGUGGGAGAGGUGCGUGGAAUUCCCGGUGUAGCGGUGAAAUGCGUAGAUAUCAGGAGGAACACCAGUGGCGAAGGCGGUGCUCUGGGCCGGUACUGACGCUGAGGAGCGAAAGCGUGGGGAGCAAACAGG